rnacentral:tRNA from 4 species
GCCGGUGUGAUGGAAUUGGUAGACGUGCUAGACUCAAAAUCUUGUGAGGGUAACUUCGUGUCGGUUCGACUCCGACCACCGGCA